AAGAAGUCAGGCCAGAUUAAGCCAUAGCACGGAAAGAGCUAUGCUGCCUGUGAGCCCCGUCCAAGGACGUAAAAUGAAGUCAGGCCGAAAGCCACGGAUUGAGCAAGCCGUGCUGCCUGUGGCUCCAUCGUGGGGAUGUAAAAACCCGGGAGGCUGCAACCCAUGGAAGCUGUACGCAUGGGGUAGCAGACUAGUGGUUAGAGGAGACCCCUCCCUAGACACAACGCAGCAGCGGGGCCCAACACCAGGGGAAGCUGUAC
rnacentral:lncRNA from 1 species